CUGGCGGCGUGCCUAAUACAUGCAAGUCGAACGGUCUUUCUAUGGAAGCUUGCUUCCACUGAGAAGAUAGUGGCGAACGGGUGAGUAACACGUGGGUAACCUGCCCAUAAGAGGGGGAUAACAUCCGGAAACGGGUGCUAAUACCGCAUAGUUUUCUUGAUCGCAUGAUCGGGAAAGGAAAGACGGCCUUUGUGCUGUCGCUUAUGGAUGGACCCGCGGCGUAUUAGUUAGUUGGUGAGGUAACGGCUCACCAAGACGAUGAUACGUAGCCGACCUGAGAGGGUGAUCGGCCACAUUGGGACUGAGACACGGCCCAAACUCCUACGGGAGGCAGCAGUAGGGAAUCUUCCGCAAUGGACGAAAGUCUGACGGAGCAACGCAGCGUGAGUGAAGAAAGGUUUUCGGAUCGUAAAACUCUGUUGUCAGAGAAGAACAAGUUGGAGAGUAACUGCUCCAGCCUUGACGGUAUCUGACCAGAAAGCCACGGCUAACUACGUGCCAGCAGCGGC
rnacentral:rRNA from 1 species